rnacentral:lncRNA from 13 species
CCACUGGGUCAGAAUCAGAGCCUAGUUAAUCAUGAGGCCAUGGGGCAGUGACCUGGAGCAGCCGCCUCUAUGGAAUUCCAGACAGCUUUGGAAUCAUUUGCCAACUAACUGAGGUUUCCUCACCAGAUCCUGUAUAUGGCCUGUAGAAUGUCAGUAAGUCCUGCUUCUGCCAGAUAAGGAAACUGAAGCCCAUCAAGGCAUUAAAUAUCCACGGUUGCUUGAGUGUUAAGGCCAGGACUCCAUCUAGAUUGGUAAUCUCAAAAUCCUUGCUGCCUCAUGGGGCCUGGUCAUAUGAGUUCAGUUUGGGACACAAUGUGUUUGAGGGGCCUGUGAAGUGGUGGGGGGCAAUACUCGGGUGCAGUGGUUGAGGUCUUAGAAUUCCCACAUGGUAGGGUGCAAGGAGAGAAAAGGGCACAGCAGAGAUUGCUCUCUUCUUCCACCUCAAGGUUCAGAAUGCCUGAGUUUUAGCUGACACAGCCAUUUGGAAUGAAGAUUCUGCUUCUCAACUGCCCACAGAGCUGGGUGUGGCUAUGUGUUAAGGUGUGACUAGAGGGAAGGGUGGGAGAGUGUUCUUACCUACCUUUGCCACUCUGCACUGCUUUUUC